UACAGAGGGGGCAAGCGUUGUUCGGAAUUACUGGGCGUAAAGGGCGCGUAGGCGGCCUGUUAAGUCGAACGUGAAAUCCCCGGGCUCAACCCGGGAACUGCGUCCGAUACUGGCAGGCUUGAAUCCGGGAGAGGGAUGUGGAAUUCCAGGUGUAGCGGUGAAAUGCGUAGAUAUCUGGAGGAACACCGGUGGCGAAGGCGGCAUCCUGGACCGGUAUUGACGCUGAGGCGCGAAAGCGUGGGGAGCAAAAGGG
rnacentral:rRNA from 1 species